rnacentral:tRNA from 1 species
UAGAAAGAAGCUCGUUGUUAGAGCGCUUAGCUGUUAACUAGAUGUUGCAGGAUCAAGGCCUGUCUUUCUAG